GUAAUUUAAUUACGUUGUUACUGACGCGGAUUGCUAUUACAAAAAGGUUUGUGGUUGGUCCUGGUGGCGGGCGAGCCCGCCCAGGAAACAAGAGGUACGCAAAAGACACGGGUGAAUAGUUCAGCAGGGCCGGGCCCCCGUUGCGCACGCCGUGAAGCAGUGCCCAUCGGGGGGGGAUCCAGCCCGCCUUCGUAUUGUGUAAUGAUCCCUCCGCAGGUUCACCUACGGAGA
rnacentral:misc_RNA from 1 species